UCGAUCUGGCUAAGCGUGCGUAGCGGACUCUCUCGGUUGUUGUGAAUCCCACGGCUCAACUGGGGAAWUGCGUUCCAAAACUGAGAUAUCUUGAGGGUGGGAUGGGGAGACUGAAACAUCCGGUGGAGCGGUGAAUUGCUUUGAGAUCGGAAGGAACGCCCGCGGCGAAGGCGAGUCUCUGGACCCAUMCUGACGCUGAGACGCAAAAGCCAGGGAAGCAAACGGAAUUAAAUCCCCCGGUAYUCCUGGCUGUAAACAUUGGGCACUGGGUAGUGGAACCGCCGAUGGUUUCACUGCCGCAGGGAAACCGUGAAGUGCCCCGCCUGGGGAGUAUGGUCGCAAGGCUGAAACUCAAAGGAAUUGGCGGGGGA
rnacentral:rRNA from 1 species